UACGUAGGGUGCAAGCGUUUGUCCGGAAUUAUUGGGCGUAAAGAGCUCGUAGGCGGUUCGUCGCGUCUGCCGUGAAAGUCCGGGGCUCAACUCCGGAUCUGCGGUGGGUACGGGCAGACUAGAGUGAUGUAGGGGAGACUGGAAUUCCUGGUGUAGCGGUGAAAUGCGCAGAGUAUCAGGAGGAACACCGAUGGCGAAGGCAGGUCUCUGGGCAUUAACUGACGCUGGAGGAGCGAAAGCAUGGGGAGCGAACAGG
rnacentral:rRNA from 1 species